UACCGUGAGGAAGCGUAGUUUUGUAGGCAACUCGGAGGAGAUCAGAGCCAUGCUACUGAAGCCUUUGUUUCAGAUUAAUUGGUAAAGGCUCCUGGACUGUCUCUUUUUCAGAUACCAGAGGAUAUGUGAAGUGUGUCCUUCAAGGCAACAUCCAGUGCAGCUUGGCACUAUGAACAGAAAUAGGUCACUGGUACCUGCGACUUUGUCAAAGGAAGGUGAGGUCAAACAGUACAAAUUCAGGCUUUAAAUCAAAACCAUAAGGAAGAUAUUUAUCAUUGCUGCUUUUGGCUUCUCUGUGAUAGGUCCUGGUUCAAAACCUGCUUUUGAAAUAUCCCAGAUGUGAGCAUAAGCUGUGCAUUGUUCAGUCUUGAUCACUUUGCUUCAGAAAGCCAUUAGCAAGAACAUUUGGAGGGAAUGUGUAAUGCAGGCAUGUGAUCUGCAAGAGGCAGAGAUGACAUUAUCUAGAUAAUUGUUUACUUAAAGAGAUUUGAUUUAUUUGGAGAGAUUUUCUGUAAGAGAUACUGAUUAUUAGUGAUAGUGUGACUGACAUUGUUUUGCUCUUUGGAAAGACCAUGGCUUGAUUUUGAACAAACAGGUCAGUGCUUUACUGUGGCAAACCCACAAAUGUAGACACCUCAUGUGGUCAAUGUCUU
rnacentral:lncRNA from 1 species